AGCAGCCGCGGUAAUUCCAGCUCCAAUAGCGUAUAUUAAAGUUGUUGCAGUUAAAAAGCUCGUAGUUGAAUUUCGGGAUUGGCGCAUCGGUCGUGCCUCACGGGGUAUGAACUGGUGCAGUCAAUUUCUCACCUUCUGGAGAACCGCGAUGUCCUUAAUUGGAUGCCGCGGGGAACCAGGACCUUUACUUUGAAAAAAUUAGAGUGUUUAAAGCAGGCAUUUUUGCUUGAAUACAUUAGCAUGGAAUAAUAAAAUAGGACGGCAUGGUUCUAUUUUGUUGGUUCCUAGGACCACCGUAAUGAUUAAUAGGGAUAGUUGGGGGCAUUAGUAUUCAAUUGUCAGAGGUGAAAUUCUUGGAUUUAUUGAAGACUAACUACUGCGAAAGCAUUUGCCAAGGAUGUUUUCAUUAAUCAAGAACGAAAGUUAGGGGAUCGAAGACGAUCAGAUACCGUCGUAGUCUUAACCAUAAACUAUGCCGACUAGGAAUCAGACGAUGUUAAUUUUUUAAUGACUCGUUU
rnacentral:rRNA from 1 species